GACGAACGCUGGCGGCGUGCUUAACACAUGCAAGUCGAACGGAAAGGCCCUGCUUUUGUGGGGUGCUCGAGUGGCGAACGGGUGAGUAACACGUGAGUAACCUGCCCUUGACUUUGGGAUAACUUCCGGAAACUGGGGCUCAUACCGGAUAGGAGCUCCUGCUGCAUGGUGUGGGUUGGAAAGUUUCGGCGGUGGGGGAUGGACUCGCGGCUUAUCAGCUUGUUGGUGGGGUAGUGGCUUACCAAGGCUUUGACGGGUAGCCGGCCUGAGAGGGUGACCGGCCACAUGGGGACUGAGAGACGGACCAGACUCCUACGGGAGGCAGCAGUGGGGAGUAUUGCAGAAUGGGCGGAAGCCAGAGGCAGCAACGCCGCGUGCGGGAUGACGGGUUUCGGGUUGUAAACCGCUUUCGCAUGUGACGAAGCGUGAGUGACGGUAAUGGGUAAAGAAGCACCGGCUAACUACGUG
rnacentral:rRNA from 1 species